GGGCCGUUAGUUCAGUCAGUAGAACACCCGAUUCGCAUUCGGGAGGUCACCGGUGCAAUUCCGGUACGGUCCA
rnacentral:tRNA from 1 species